GGGAUGGCUCAGUGGUUAAGAGCACUGGCUGCUCUUGUCGAGGACCUGGGUUCGAUUCCCAGUACCCA
rnacentral:tRNA from 1 species